AGACCCGAAACCCGGUGAUCUAGCCAUGGGCAGGUUGAAGGUUGGGUAACACUAACUGGAGGACCGAACCGACUAAUGUUGAAAAAUUAGCGGAUGACCUGUGGCUGGGGGUGAAAGGCCAAUCAAACCGGGAGAUAGCUGGUUCUCCCCGAAAGCUAUUUAGGUAGCGCCUCGUGAAUUCAUCUCCGGGGGUAGAGCACUGUUUCGGCUAGGGGGCCAUCCCGGCUUACCAACCCGAUGCAAACUGCGAAUACCGGAGAAUGUUAUCACGGGAGACACACGGCGGGUGCUAACGUCCGUCGUGAAGAGGGAAACAACCCAGACCGCCAGCUAAGGUCCCAAAGUCAUGGUUAAGUGGGAAACGAUGUGGGAAGGCCCAGACAGCCAGGAUGUUGGCUUAGAAGCAGCCAUCAUUUAAAGAAAGCGUAAUAGCUCACUGGUCGAGUCGGCCUGCGCGGAAGAUGUAACGGGGCUAAACCAUGCACCGAAGCUGCGGCAGCGACACUGUGUGUUGUUGGGUAGGGGAGCGUUCUGUAAGCCUGUGAAGGUGUGUCGUGAGGCAUGCUGGAGGUAUCAGAAGUGCGAAUGCUGACAUAAGUAACGAUAAAGCGGGUGAAAAGCCCGCUCGCCGGAAGACCAAGGGUUCCUGUCCAACGUUAAUCGGGGCAGGGUGAGUCGACCCCUAAGGCGAGGCCGAAAGGCGUAGUCGAUGGGAAACGGGUUAAUAUUCCCGUACUUGGUGUUACUGCGAAGGGGGGACGGAGAAGGCUAUGUUGGCCGGGCGACGGUUGUCCCGGUUUAAGCGUGUAGGUGUGUGUUCCAGGUAAAUCCGGUUCACUUUAACACUGAGGCGUGACGACGAGGCACUACGGUGCUGAAGCAACAAAUGCCCUGCUUCCAGGAAAAGCCUCUAAGCAUCAGGUAACAUCAAAUCGUACCCCAAACCGACACAGGUGGUCAGGUAGAGAAUACCAAGGCGCUUGAGAGAACUCGGGUGAAGGAACUAGGCAAAAUGGUGCCGUAACUUCGGGAGAAGGCACGCUGACACGUAGGUGAAGUGAUUUACUCAUGGAGCUGAAGUCAGUCGAAGAUACCAGCUGGCUGCAACUGUUUAUUAAAAACACAGCACUGUGCAAACACGAAAGUGGACGUAUACGGUGUGACGCCUGCCCGGUGCCGGAAGGUUAAUUGAUGGGGUCAGCGCAAGCGAAGCUCCUGAUCGAAGCCCCGGUAAACGGCGGCCGUAACUAUAACGGUCCUAAGGUAGCGAAAUUCCUUGUCGGGUAAGUUCCGACCUGCACGAAUGGCGUAAUGAUGGCCAGGCUGUCUCCACCCGAGACUCAGUGAAAUUGAACUCGCUGUGAAGAUGCAGUGUACCCGCGGCAAGACGGAAAGACCCCGUGAACCUUUACUAUAGCUUGACACUGAACAUUGAGCCUUGAUGUGUAGGAUAGGUGGGAGGCUUUGAAGUGUGGACGCCAGUCUGCAUGGAGCCGACCUUGAAAUACCACCCUUUAAUGUUUGAUGUUCUAACGUGGACCCGUUACCCGGGUUGCGGACAGUGUCUGGUGGGUAGUUUGACUGGGGCGGUCUCCUCCUAAAGAGUAACGGAGGAGCACGAAGGUUGGCUAAUCCUG
rnacentral:rRNA from 2 species